rnacentral:rRNA from 1 species
AUUGAACGCUGGCGGCAUGCCUAACACAUGCAAGUCGAACGAAGCCUUCGGGCUUAGUGGCGCACGGGUGCGUAACGCGUGGGAAUCUGCCCUUGGGUUCGGAAUAACAGAGAGAGAUUUCUGCUAAUACCGAAUGAUGACGUAAGUCCAAAGAUUUAUCGCCCAGGGAUGAGCCCGCGUAGGAUUAGCUAGUUGGUGUGGUAAAGGCGCACCAAGGCGACGAUCCUUAGCUGGUCUGAGAGGAUGAUCAGCCACACUGGGACUGAGACACGGCCCAGACUCCUACGGGAGGCAGCAGUGGGGAAUAUUGGACAAUGGGCGAAAGCCUGAUCCAGCAAUGCCGCGUGAGUGAUGAAGGCCUUAGGGUUGUAAAGCUCUUUUACCCGGGAAGAUAAUGACUGUACCGGGAGAAUAAGCUCCGGCUAACUCCGUGCCAGCCGCCGCAGUAA